UUCGCAAUGCCCGAAAGGGUGACGAAGCGACGCCGCGUGCGGGAAGAAGGCCUUCGGGUUGUAAACCGCUGUCGGGAGUUAGGAAAUGCAAGGAUGUUAAUAGCGUCUUUGCUUGACUAAGGCUCCGGAGGAAGCCACGGCUAACUCUGUGCCAGCAGCCGCGGUAAUACAGAGGCGGCAAGCGUUGUUCGGAAUUAUUGGGCGUAAAGAGCACGUAGGCGGCCGUGUAAGUCGGUUGUGAAAGCCUUCCGCUCAACGGGAGAACGGCAUCCGAUACUGCAUGGCUCGAGUGCGGGAGGGGAGAGUGGAACUUCUGGUGGAGCGGUGAAAUGUGUAGAUAUCAGAAGGAACACCGGCGGCGAAGGCGACUCUCUGGCCCGUAACUGACGCUGAGUGUGCGAAAGCUAGGGGAGCAAACGGGAUUAGAUACCCCGGUAGUCCUAGCCGUAAACGAUGGGCACUAAGUAGAGGGGUUUU
rnacentral:rRNA from 1 species